rnacentral:rRNA from 1 species
UACAGAGGGGGCAAGCGUUGCUCGGAAUCACUGGGCGUAAAGCGCACGUAGGCGGCUUCUUAAGUCAGGGGUGAAAUCCUGGAGCUCAACUCCAGAACUGCCUUUGAUACUGAGAAGCUUGAGUCCGGGAGAGGUGAGUGGAACUGCGAGUGUAGAGGUGAAAUUCGUAGAUAUUCGCAAGAACACCAGUGGCGAAGGCGGCUCACUGGCCCGGUACUGACGCUGAGGUGCGAAAGCGUGGGGAGCAAACAGG